GACGAACGCUGGCGGCGUGCUUAACACAUGCAAGUCGAACGGUAAGGCCCUUCGGGGUACACGAGUGGCGAACGGGUGAGUAACACGUGGGUGAUCUGCCCUGCACUUCGGGAUAAGCCUGGGAAACUGGGUCUAAUACCGGAUAGGACCCUGGGAUGCAUGUCCUGGGGUGGAAAGCUUUUGCGGUGUGGGAUGGGCCCGCGGCCUAUCAGCUUGUUGGUGGGGUGAUGGCCCACCAAGGCGACGACGGGUAGCCGGCCUGGGAGGGUGACCGGACACACUGGGACUGAGCUACGGCCCAGACUCCUACGGGAGGCAGCAGUGGGGAAUAUUGCACAAUGGACGCAAGCCUGAUGCAGCGACGCCGCGUGAGGGAUGACGGCCUUCGGGUUGUAAACCUCUUUCCGCACCGACGAAGCGCAAGUGACGGUAGGUGCAGAAGAAGGACCGGCCAACUACGUGCCAGCCGCCGCAGUAA
rnacentral:rRNA from 1 species